rnacentral:rRNA from 1 species
AGGACGAACGCUUGCGACGUGCCUAAGAAAUGCAAGUCGAACGGGGUCAUCCUUCGGGGUGGCCUAGUGGCGAACGGUCGCGUAACACGUGGGCAACCUGCCCUGAAGCGGGGGACAACAAGCCGAAAGGUUUGCUAAUACCGCAUGUGGAUCGCCUCGGCAUCGAGGAUUAUCCAAAGCAGCAAUGCACUUCAGGAUGGGCCCGCGGCCUAUCAGCUAGUUGGAGGGGUAACGGCCCACCAAGGCUUCGACGGGUAGCUGGUCUGAGAGGACGAUCGGCCACACUGGGACUGAGACACGGCCCAGACUCCUACGGGAGGCAGCAGUGGGGAAUAUUGCACAAUGGGCGGAAGCCUGAUGCAGCGACGCCGCGUGAGGGAUGACGGCCUUCGGGUUGUAACCUCUUUCAGUACCGACGAAGCGAGAGUGACGGUAGGUACAGAAGAAGCACCGGCCAACUACGUGCCAGCAGCCGCGGU